CGCCACUUCCGCUACUUCCGGCCCGGGGAGCUUCGGUGGUGCUGACUGGGGAGGGAAAGCUAAGGCCGUCUUGGAUGGUGACUGGCGUUGUCUUAAAGGCUUCCUCCCUCAGCAUCUUUGGUGGUUGGUGCUGACUCUUGGCCAGGACCACAUUUGGGGCUGUGACAGCACACCUGCAAGUGACCUCUCUACCCAGCCGGGCUUCCUUGAAGCAUGGCACCAAGGUGACCUCCCAAGAUAAGGUGGAAGCAGAGGGAUGCUUGGUUACAAAAGAAGGGAAGGAGAGGUGACCUUGGAGGCAUACAGCCUCAAGCCAAGGAAUGCUGGACGCUGGACGCGGCAAGGAACGAAUUCUCCCCUGGAACCUCCAGAAGGAACUAUUCUGGCUAACACCUUAGUUUUAGCCCAUGAGACUCUGUGGAUUUCUGGCCUUUGGAACUGGAAGAGAAUAAAUGUCUGCUGUUUUAAGCCUUCA